CAAAAUUCGUUGGGGUGCCUUCGAAGCAAUAUCAGGAAAAGUGCCAAGCGGUUUUCCGUCCGAUGUUGCGACACAAAAGGCUGAGAGACGCUGAUCGCGUUAACCCAUUGAACCUGAUCCGGGUAAUACCUGCGUAGGGAACGGAGUUUGACGCGUC
rfam:Ochrobactrum anthropi ATCC 49188 chromosome 1, complete sequence.